rnacentral:rRNA from 1 species
AACGCGUAGUCAACCUACCCUAUGGACGGGAAUAACCUCGGGAAACUGAGAAUAAUGCCCGAUAGAACAUUAUGCCUGGAAUGGUUUAUGUUCCAAAUGAUUUAUCGCCGUAGGAUGGGACUGCGGCCUAUCAGUUUGCUGGUGAGGUAAUGGCCCACCAAGACUAUUACAGGUACGGGCUCUGAGAGGAGUAGCCCGGAGAUGGGUACUGAGACACGGACCCAGGCCCUAUGGGGCGCAGCAGGCGAGAAAACUUUGCAAUGUGCGAAAGCACGACAAGGUUAAUCCGAGUGGUUUCUGCUAAAGGAACCUUUUGACAGUCCUAGAAACACUGUUGAAUAAGGGGUGGGCAAGUUCUGGUGUCAGCCGCCGCGGUAAAACCAGCACCUCAAGUGGUCAGGAUGAUUAUUGGGCCUAAAGCAUCCGUAGCCGGCUCUGUAAGUUUUCGGUUAAAUCUAUACGCUCAACGUAUAGGCUGCCGGGAAUACUGCAGAGCUAGGGAGUGGGAGAGGUAGACGGUACUCGGUAGGAAGGGGUAAAAUCCUUUGAUCUAUUGAUGACCACCUGUGGCGAAGGCGGUCUACCAGAACACGUCCGACGGCGAGGGAUGAAAGCUGGGGGAGCAAACCGGAUUAGAUACCCGGGUAGUCCCAGCUGUAAACUAUGCAAACUCAGUGAUGCAUUGGCUUAUGGCCAAUGCAGUGCUGCAGGGAAGCCGUUAAGUUUGCCGCCUGGGAAGUACGUACGCAAGUAUGAAACUUAAAGGAAUUGGCGGGGGAGCACCACAAGGGGUGAAGCCUGCGGUUCAAUUGGAGUCAACGCCGGG